CCAUCCAUUGGAAUAUCCAGUGCAGCCCAGCUCCUCCUAGUUGUCUUUUCUUGGCGUCCUGAUCGCCGCCCCGCUGUGACCGAUCAGCGACAGGUCGCGGUCGCGCUGCUCGCAUGCUCACAUCGCCCCGCUCCACAACCCAAUUUCCCGUGCUUGUCACGACCAUGGUCACCACCACCAUGGCGUGCCGUUUCGUCCCCGACCUGUCACCUCGCCUAAAGCUCCGCAUAGGCAUGCUUGGCUCUUUGGCGCCGCCCGCUCUUCUCCUUGUCUCCUUUCUGCUGGCCACGCUCGCCGCCCGAACCCGCCUGUCCGUGGUGACCACGUCACCAGGACGGCCGGUGCGGCCCCGAUCCUCUCCCUGGCAUAGAUAGGAGACCUGCACCUCUCCAUAGCCCAAGCCCCACUCACUCCAAUCUCCCCUCUCCUCCCUGCAACCCUCGGAAGCAGCAGAAACGGAGAGCCCUGCCCUGCUCCUUCUCGCAGGAAAAGAGGCCGGCCGUACUGCUAGUUGACGCCCGCGUCGCAGCCGUCACCUCGCCCUCGUCGCGUUCGCUCACAGCAUCGACGGACCAGGUCGGCAUCCGCGUCUUCGUCGCGCGCCCGGGCCGCCCAGGCCGUCGCGGUCUUCCUCUGCAUGCAACCGCGCCCUCCUUCGUUCUCCGCCCGUCUCCCCCAGGCUCCGCUCGCUAGGUGGUCGCCAUCAUGGAGCCCUGGCACGGCUGCAUUGCUGUACCCGAAGCGGAGCACGACUUCGUCCGCGCGCGUCGCUGCCUGGGGAGAGCCACCUCACGUCGCUGUCUUUGCCUCCGAAACAACCCAGACCACCAGAGACCCCGUCAGCGAGCAUCGCCGCUCCACACGGACCAGUCCUCGACGCUGUUCUCAUCUCCAUCUGCGGCAGCGACCAGCAGCACGCCGCACGUCCUCCUCCGCAUCGACGCCCGGGAGCAGCUCAAGCCCGACCGAGGCGAAACCCCCAGGCCUCCGCUUCUCUCCUGCAUCGCCUCCGCCACACCACGCCGUCCCCGUCGCGUCCAAGACCCCGCCGGUGAGCCCUGGAAAUGCGAACGCUAUCGGAGAAGGAGAGGAUCUUGGUGAGGAUUUCGAAGAGGAAGGAAGAGCAGAGGUUCGUGAAGAAGAAGUCCAGGGACAAAUAGCCAACCAAGGCAAGCCACCUCUUGAUGCAUACCUUAUCCUAAUUUUCUUACUCUUGCAUUAUUAUAGGUUUAUAAAUUGCAUGUCUUUUUUAUUUAUUUAUGUGAGUGGUUAUAUCCACUCGGAAUUUUAUUAUUCCACCCUUACGGGUGCUACCCCUCGUUGAUACCUACUGGACAAUCUUGGUAGCGAUUUGGUGCUUAACACCUUAUCCUCUCUUUGUCGCCGCUUUUCAAAUAAAGUUGGACUAUAGGUUGGGAUCCCUUUUGAAAAAAGGAAUUUGGAAAAAGGUUUUAAAGAAAAUGAGUUCUUUGAAAACCUUGGAAUGGGGGAACCUUGCCCAAGUGGAAAUUUUUAUGAAAAGGUUUUGAGAAAGAUGGUGCUGAAGGAAAAAUGAGGAACUUUUGUUUUCAAAAAUCUUUGUUGACUGCGUACACAACCGGACCUAGCCAGUACAACCACAUUACCCUUUAGUGGGACGGGGCGUAGCGUAGUAGUUUGUCUCGCCUUAGUCUGGGUCCUGCAAGUGUAAGGGGUAGUCCGAACAUGGACACCUAUCGACCGGGCCUUCCCGACGUACUGGGAUGCCUUUCCUUCUUUUCAGAUGGCAGGGGCACAACCUAUGAGCUCCUAUUGAAUAAUGUCCCGCAGUUGGCCGCGGCAUUCCGGAGGGUCGAGCUGGUCGGGGAAUUUGCUACUCCUGGGUAAACGACCCCUCGGACUCUGGUGUUGGGAGGUACAACUCUAGGCGGCAUGUCUUAGGCUAAGGCGAGCAAGCGAAAAACUGCGAUCGGUUAUCCGAACCUCGCGUUUUGACGCUUGGUGAACCAGGGAUGAUCCCGGCGGAUUUAUCGGAUCUUGUGGGGAAAGUGUACAACCUCUGCAUAGUGUAAAUCUAUUCGAAUAGCCGUGUCCGCGGUUAUGGACGUGGGAAAGGCGGUGCGGAGUAUCAAAGAAGGAUUUUGUUUUAUAAAAGAGUUUUUUUCAAAGGGUUUAGAAAAGGAUACCAGUGGGACUGGUGGAAAGGUACCUGGGAGGUACGGUGGAAAGUUGGAAAAGUUGUUUUGGCCAUAUGAGAUGGCCGGGAAGGAAAAAUGGGUCACCCUAACCUAUUAGUCUUCAAAAGAAACUUGUUUUCAAAAAGGUUUUCAACAAAGAUAUAGAGAUGUCAUACUCUCGAGAGAAACAAUCUCUCACUCCUUGUAACCUUAGAAUAGUGCAUGUUCCUUGCUACUGCCAAAUUGCAUAUCCUUUACUUCUCUCCAAGGUGGUUUGCGAGUACAAUUCAUAAUGUACUCAUGGCUUUGUCCCUGGCUA